UGAACCCAGUGAAGAAGAUUAAGCAGCAGCUAAAGGUGGAGAUGGUGCCUCUGAGACUAAGAAGGCAGCAGCAGCAAUUUGUGUUGGAAUAGGCAGCUUUUCUGACCCUAUGGAAGCACAAGGGCUUGCACACUUUCUUGAACAUAUGCUCUUCAUGGGGAGCACAAAGUUUCCAGUUGAAAAUGGGGUAUGCUUUCAUUGAGUACAU